AUUGAACGCUGGCGGCAGGCUUAACACAUGCAAGUCGAGCGGAGAUGAGGUGCUUGCACCUUAUCUUAGCGGCGGACGGGUGAGUAAUGCUUAGGAAUCUGCCUAUUAGUGGGGGACAACAUUCCGAAAGGAAUGCUAAUACCGCAUACGUCCUACGGGAGAAAGCAGGGGAUCUUCGGACCUUGCGCUAAUAGAUGAGCCUAAGUCGGAUUAGCUAGUUGGUGGGGUAAAGGCCUACCAAGGCGACGAUCUGUAGCGGGUCUGAGAGGAUGAUCCGCCCAACUGGGACUGAGACACGGCCCAGACUCCUACGGGAGGCAGGAGUGGGGAAUAUUGGACAAUGGGGGGAACCCUGAUCCAGCCAUGCCGCGUGUGUGAAGAAGGCCUUAUGGUUGUAAAGCACUUUAAGCGAGGAGGAGGCUACUGAGACUAAUACUCUUGGAUAGUGGACGUUACUCGCAGAAUAAGCACCGGCUAACUCUGUGCCAGCCGCCGCCGUAA
rnacentral:rRNA from 1 species